rnacentral:rRNA from 1 species
UACGUAGGGCGCAAGCGUUGUCCGGAAUUAUUGGGCGUAAAGAGCUCGUAGGCGGCUUGUCACGUCGGGUGUGAAAGCCCGGGGCUUAACCCCGGGUCUGCAUUCGAUACGGGCUAGCUAGAGUGUGGUAGGGGAGAUCGGAAUUCCUGGUGUAGCGGUGAAAUGCGUAGAGAUCAUGAGGAAGACCAGUGGCGAAGGCGGGUCUCUGGACAGUGGCUGACGCUGAGGCGCGACAGCGUGGGGAGCAAACAGG